GACGUAGGGCGCGAGCGUUGUCCGGAUUUAUUGGGCGUAAAGAGCUCGUAGGCGGCUUGUUGCGUCGGCUGUGAAAACCCGCGGCUUAACCGUGGGCUUGCAGCCGAUACGGGCGGGCUGGAGUUCGGUAGGGGAGACUGGAAUUCCUGGUGUAGCGGUGAAAUGCGCAGAUAUCAGGAGGAACACCAAUAGCGAAGGCAGCUCGCUGGGACGUUACUGACACUGAGGCGCGAAAGCGUGGGGAGCGAACAGG
rnacentral:rRNA from 1 species